UUGGCGAGGUUCGGUCAUUUUUUACAUCACUGGGAGCAUUGUCUCGUAAACAAUUUCAUGAUGGCUCAUAUGAAACGACUGAGCAGGCAAAUGCUAAAUGAUAACCACUCACUCAAUGAUAACCAAACACCAGUGUGAAAAGCAUAGAGGCAGAUAUUUAUUGCAGCUUAGCCUCGACUAUCACUGCUCUAAGAAAAACACACCAUUAGCCUUUGGAGUUGUUGUGGUUAUCACCAAUCAAGUAGUGGCACAAGUGGAUGGGUCUGCGAUGUUUGCUGGGCCACAAGUGGAUUCCUUGUAUACUGAAUUUGAAUCAUGAAGAUGAAGGAUAAGAAGAGGCGAUGUCUUCGACUGGUUGGAGAGCCAACCUGGGCGUCAAAGAAGAGGCGGCAGACCAAUGAGGCAGAUCACGGGGCGUCGGCGAGCCGGCAGACCUCGGGGCGUCGGUGUUGGAAACCAGUGUUAUCACGGGGCAUCGGCGAGGCGGCAGACCUCGGGCGUCGGCGAGGCGGCAGACCUCGGGGCGUCGGUGUUGGCAACCAGUGUUUGCCAAGAAGGCAGACGUCGGAGAAGAGACGGCAGACCACUGGGCGGCGAGGUGGUUGCCGUACGGAAGGCAUCGGAGAAGAGAUGGCAGCGUAAGAGUGAGAAGAGACGGCAGCGUGAGGGGAGAGAUGAUUUCCUAUUCCGCCCAGCUGAUUCAUAGGGAUACGGCUGGGCUGAUUGGUUUCCUUGUACGUCUGCGCUGAUUGGUUUCCUUGUAUGUCUAGGCUGAUUUUUUUCCUUGUAUGUCUCGGCUGAUAGCUGAUUGUCUGCGCUGA